rnacentral:rRNA from 1 species
AGUGGCGGGCGGGUGAGUAACGCGUGGGUAACCUGCCUCAUACAGGGGGAUAACAGUUAGAAAUGACUGCUAAUACCGCAUAAGACCACAGCACCGCAUGGUGCAGGGGUAAAAACUCCGGUGGUAUGAGAUGGACCCGCGUCUGAUUAGGUAGUUGGUGGGGUAACGGCCUACCAAGCCGACGAUCGGUAGCCGGACUGAGAGGUUGAACGGCCACAUUGGGACUGAGACACGGCCCAG